CCCUCGCUUUUCUAACUCGCUUUCCUUUUCUCGUGCAGAGCGCCUCCUUCCUCCUCUCCCUCUCCCUCUCCCUCUCCUCUCUCUCUCUCUCUCUAUAUAUAUAUAUAUAUAUAAAUAUAUCCCUCUCCCCCCCACUCCUCUCUCGCUCGCUCGCUCGCUCGCUCGCUCUUGAGUCGACGUUCGUUCUUGUUAGGGUGAGAGGUGAGAGAGAGAGGGGGGGGAGAGUGGCUCCAAUGGCGACAAGCGAGGACGAGAAGCAAGAGGCGAAGAAGGACCCCCGCAUUGAAGGGAUCGCCGCCUCCAUCCGCGUCGUCCCCAAUUUCCCCAAACCAGGGAUCAUGUUCCAAGACAUCACCACCUUGCUCCUCGAUCCGAAGGCGUUCAAGAACACGGUGGAUUUGUUCGUGGAGCGCUACACUGGGAAGGACAUCUCCGUCGUCGCGGGAAUUGAGGCUAGGGGCUUCAUUUUUGGUCCUCCUAUUGCAUUAGCUAUCGGUGCGAAGUUCAUCCCAUUAAGAAAGCCAAGAAAGUUGCCAGGUGAAGUAAUUUCCGAAGAGUAUGUUCUAGAAUAUGGAACUGAUUGUCUUGAAAUGCAUGUCGGUGCUGUUAAACCUGGUGAACGUGCCUUGGUUGUUGAUGACUUGGUUGCAACUGGAGGAACUCUAUGUGCUGCCAUAAAUUUACUAGAGCGUGCUGGGGCUGAAGUGGUUGAGUGUGCAUGCGUUAUUGAACUUCCAGAACUGAAGGGUCGUGAAAGGUUAAAUGGAAAGCCAUUAUAUAUACUCGUGGAGUCCCGCUGAUGGUGGCCAUCUACAACCUCUUCAGCAGGAACUGUAUCCAAAACAUUCACAUAGAUUUGGCGUCUGCCGAACAGUGUUUCUGACUGAAUAAAUGCAGACAGCAGAAGAAUCUUACGGGAGUGGUGUUUGAAAAUCUUACAAAGGAAAACACUGUUUUGAUGCUGUCCUACGUUGGAAGGAGAGCAGAAAUGUGAGCUACAACUGCUUCUAUCCCUUUUCGCCGGAAAGCGCAGUAAGUUGUGGAUUGUCCCAAAUCAGCCUAUUCUUUUUGAAAAUAUACAAUUCUCGUCGUCUCUGUCAACUUUCUUUCGGAGAAUAAGGUUGUUUCAUUUUGGCUGACUAGUGGGAACAAACCUGCUUCUGCUUAUCGUAGUUAUUUUGUUUCCGAAUAUCUUAUUGAGUACAAAUGCAGAAUUAGAACAUUUUCCAGUCUUA